rnacentral:rRNA from 1 species
UACGUAGGGGGCAAGCGUUGUCCGGAUUUAUUGGGCGUAAAGAGCGUGUAGGCGGCCAGACAAGUCUGCUGUGAAAACUCGAGGCUCAACCUCGAGCUGUCGGUGGAAACUGUCUGGCUAGAGUCCGGAAGAGGAGAGUGGAAUUCCUGGUGUAGCGGUGAAAUGCGUAGAGAUCUGGAAGAACACCAAAGGCGAAGGCAGCGUCCUGGGAAGCAUCUGACGCUCAGGUGCGAAAGCUAGGGGAGCGAACGGG